GAAACCACAAGAGCUUCGUAAAUUAUCUGAAAAUUGUAGUAAUAAAAAAAUAACUGACAUUUUAUUAUGGUCCUCAAUUUCUAAAAAUGCUAUUGACAAAUAUAAUGAGUUUAAAUAUUUUGAUGCAUUAUUAUUAUUAUCUUCUUUUGAUAAUAUGAAUUUUUAUGAUAAAAGCUUAUAUGAACAUUUUUCACAUAUAUUUAUAAAACAAAUACAUUUAUUCGAAGUUAAACAUUUGUUGUUAUUAAUAAAUUUAUAUUAUAAAGUAAAUCUAUUUCCACGUAUUUUAUUUAUACAAGUGUUUCAUUAUAUAGCCAAAAAUUGUAAUAAAUUUUACCCAGAUGAAUGUAAAGACAUAUUAAUAUGUUUCGCAAAACUACGAAUUAUGAAUAAAAAUUUAAUAAAAAUAUUAUGUAAGAAUAUUAUAAAAAAUAUUAAUCUUUAUGAUUAUUGUACUUUAUGUUGUAUUGUUGGUUCGUUGAGAUUGUUAAAUAUCAAUGAUGAUGUAUUUUAUUAUGUUAUAGAUGAAAAACAAGAAAAAGAAUUAAAAUUAUUAACAAUUCAGGAACUUUUUGAUAAUAUUAAAAAAAUAAAAUUAUUAGUAUAUUGUUGGGAAUUAUAUGAAAAAAAAUUAAUGAAUGAAUUUUUAACUCAAUUAAAUAAUUUCAAAAAUGAAAAAGAUGUUGAUCAAUUAGAUGAUCCAUUUAUUUGUUUAAAUUUUUUAGUAAGUAAAAAUUUAGUUAAUAAUAAUUUUUUAUUAGCAUUAAGUAAAUGGUGUUUAAAGCGAGUUUAUGAAUAUCCAAGUAGGUCAUCUAAAAGACCAUUGUCACAUGAAUUAAUAAAAUUAUAUGAAAUAAUGAAAGAAAAUAAUAUUCAAAAUUUUGAUUUUAUUGAAAAAGCAAUUCAUAGAUUUGUGAUUACACGAGGAGGUUUAGAAGUUAAUAGAGAUAAGAUGUGGAAACCGGUGUCAUACCAAAAGGGAAGAAAGUAUAUAUAUGCUAGUGACCCUUUGGGAAUCCCUGACGAGUUAGAUAUUCAUAGAACUGCUACUACCGGUCCUACUGCUAGUGAUGGUAGUGACAAUACUAACAUAACCACUGGGACAUUCAACAGCGAUAAUAAAAAUAAUAAUAUUGAUGAAUUAUUUUAUGGAUCGCAACAAAAAGAAACUGAUAGUGAUAAUAACAAAUAUGCAACAAGUGUAAAUUCUGAGAAAAAAAAAAUAAUAGAAUUAAGUUUAGAAAAAAAAACAGAAAAAAAAAAAAGUAGCCAAUCGAAUUCGAAAGACUGCAAUUUUAAAUUACGUCAAAGACCUAAACGAGUUAAAAAUAAGGCAUCCACGUCUGAGUACUAGCGUUUGGGGCUGAUCGUGUUGUGUUAGUGAGUAGGCAUGUCAGUCAGUGGGUGUGCAAGUGCACAAGUAAUGAAUGGCUAAUUAAAUAAAAACAUUCAGAAAUAAGAGAAAAGGACA
rnacentral:lncRNA from 1 species